CCUACGGGAGGCAGCAGUGAGGAAUAUUGGUCAAUGGACGAGAGUCUGAACCAGCCAAGUAGCGUGAAGGAUGAAGGUCCUACGGAUUGUAAACUUCUUUUAUAAGGGAAUAAAGUCUCCCACGUGUAUGGAUACCCGUUUGUAUGUACCUUAUGAAUAAGCAUCGGCUAACUCCGUGCCAGCAGCCGCGGUAAUACGGAGGAUCCGAGCGUUAUCCGGAUUUAUUGGGUUUAAAGGGAGCGUAGAUGGAUCUUUAAGUCAGCUGUGAAAGUUUGGGGCUCAACCUUAAAAUUGCAGUUGAUACUGGAUAUCUUGAGUGCAGUUGAGGCAGGCGGAAUUCGUGGUGUAGCGGUGAAAUGCUUAGAUAUCACGAAGAACUCCGAUUGCGAAGGCAGCCUGCUAAGCUGCAACUGACAUUGAGGCUCGAAAGUGUGGGUAUCAAACAGGAUUAGAUACCCUUGUAGUC
rnacentral:rRNA from 1 species